AUGCCCAGCAAGACGGCCUACCUCAACGACAUCAACCUGGACAAUGGCAGGCUCCACAUGCCCAAGUUCCAUCUCAACGACUCCAGAGCCUACAAGUUCCACAACUUGAUGGCGUUCGAGGCGAUGCACGUUAGCACUGAAAAUGACGUGACGGCCUACGUGCUCUUCAUCAAGGACCUCGUGGACUCCGCCGAAGAUGUGCGCCUGCUCGUGAAGAAGAGGAUCCUUGAGCAUGACCUCGCCGACGACGACGAUGCCGUGGUGAAGCUCUUCAACAGCCUCACCAGGGAUGUGUACAAGAACUGGGAGAGUAAAUUGUGCCGCGUACGUGAGGACGUGGAGCACCACUACCUCAGCAACCUCCCGCGCGUCGUCAUGUACGAGUGGUGGGCAAACCUCAAAAGCAAGUACUUUAGGAGCCCGUGGAGGCUCCUUGCCUUCAUCACCGCUCAUCGUUGGAGACAUCGUGCAGUCUGUGUUUGCAGUCUUAUCUUAUUAUAA
rnacentral:rRNA from 1 species